GCACACCUUAAUUAACACCUAGACCCACGUAGUGCUAGGCAAAAAGAAACAAGAAACAUCUCCCUGUUGCCCAAGGGACUAGCUAUUUGAGGCCAACACUGUCUGGUGACCAAAACUCAUCAUCUGACAACAAGACCAAAUGGCAAAUUAAUUUUGUCAGGCUGACACAGUAGCAAACAGGCUGAAGCACAGGUCCAGACACUCAGCCUCCUUGGCCCCAUUCACUCAACUUUGCUCAAGACAAGCAAUUACAGAACAGGCACAAAAACCAGUAAAUUGGCUGCUUGAGACCUCUGCAAAUACACCUAAGGCACUUUUUCAGAAACAGGAAAAAAGAGUAGUUCUACAGAAAAUUCCAUUUAGCCUUCAUAUGCAUAGUUUCUCAUAAGUGAUUUCUGACUUUCUGACCUGUGCAAAAGCACCUGCCCAAAAGGCAGAUCUUAAAAGACUUAUAGCAGAUGUGUUUUUCACUAACACAACCCCUGGGUGUGAGAUAGUUUGCUCAUAUUCACCCUGAAGCACCACGACUAUUUAGCUAGGUAGGGCUGAGUGGAACUCAGUUUCUUUGUUGCCACCUUAAAAGCUCUGUAAUAAUGCCUUACCAUUUCUUCUACCACAGGGUGAGAGCCCUUCUCAACUUUCAGGCAACAUCUUGCAGACAGCCAAAAAGAGAUCCGGUUUUGUCAGGGGGAAGUGCACGUACAGUAGAGAUGACAGCAGGGGGAAAACAUACAAGGACAGUUGAGGCAAGCAGUGCAGAGCAGAGGAGUUCAGCCAAACUGAAGCUCAAUGUCCAGUUUCUGAACCAGCACUGACCUUGCAGGAAGAGUUCAGUUUCAUCCAAAAAACUCAAUGUGGAGAAGAAUUCGCCAUCACUUUCAGCUGGUCUGCUCCUAUUAAAAAUUAACAUUUUCAGCAUCUUGAUUGUUUCCUUUUGGCUUCUACAGUUUUCUGUUUCCAGAUAUGGAUUGGCAGGGCAAAUUUCAAUAAACAAGGGAAAAAUAAUUGUGGAAGUCA
rnacentral:lncRNA from 1 species